AGUGAUGAUAGUAAACAAAAACAUUUUAAAUUUUAUGAUUUUUACUUCUUCUUUAUACUGUAUCUUAUUGAUAACGGUUCCAGUCUCGACGCUGAAAACUACAAAAUCGCUCUACGAUAUGGCCGAUGAUUAUGAGGACGACAAAAAUUUUGCUAUUGCGAUUUCUGAAAAAGAUGGAAGGACGGCUGCCUAUUUACAUGGAAGAGAAUUCUUAGCUUUUGGACCGCUAUUGAAUUUUGUCCCGGAAGAAGAUUUGUACUAUGUUAAUAUGGGAGACCGUACCGUUCGAUCUUAUUUUGCUCGUUUCAGCGAAGACUUACACUUUCGGAAGUUUGGUAUAUUAGUAGCAGCUUAUAGACGUUAUUUUGGAAAUACCUGGUACUUAAAUUCAACCUCUGUAAACGAACUAGGCUACAUGAUAUGCGGAUUUCCACCAGAAGAGCUCAGAAAGAUUACCCCGGCGAUUAUGAGGGAUCUUAAAACAUCAGUUCUAGGAAAAUUGAAGAAAUGUAAUGAUAAACAAGUUCAGACUUUAUAUGAAUUAGCCAUACAGCCCGAAGUCUUUGGUGAGCCGUACAGAUGGUCGUCACAUGAAGUUAGCCGAAUGGGAUCAUUACUUAAAUGCAUUCCUGCAAAUCAACUAAGCUCUAUACAAUUAGAAGCAAUGCCAGCAAUAACAGAAGAAGUUAUUAAGCAAUUUCGUCAGCAAAAAUUGACGCAAUUCACGAAACAGCAAAUUAUGAAAAUGCAACCAUUGACACGGAGAAUUUAUAUACUAAGAGUACAGUUAUUAUCUAGUUUUGAUGUUAACGAACUAUCAAAACACGCUGCAGUUAAUAAUAAUGAAUCAGUACUUUUAUUAAUUGUAUGCUUUCUUUAUGUUAUGAAAAUAACACAUCUUAUACACUUACGCAAAUUAAUGGACAGAGGAUCUACAGGAAAGCUCCUCACGCGUGGUCUGGGCCGGAGCCGUCUAGGAAUUGUGAGGUGUUCAUCGGCCGCAUCCCACACGACUGCUUCGAGGACACGCUGGUGCCGCUCUUCCGGCAGGCCGGCGAGUUGUUCGAGUUCCGACUCAUGAUUAAUUUCUCGGGAUGGAACCGCGGGUACGCGUUCGCUAUGUAUACGACCGACGCGGAGGCGAGCAAUGCUAUACGAAUGUUCAACAACUACAUGAUCAGGCCCUCUUGGCAACUUGGUGUGUGCCCGUCCAUCAACAACUGCCGCAUCUUCAUCUCAC